AAGGGCAUCAUCCCUUAUUUUGGGUUAUUCUUCCUCUCCCAUUCUGUCGAACUAAAACUCUUGACCUUUCAUAACCCACCGGAGAUUGCCUCUUUCGAGUUCCGUCGAUCGAUGCCGACAACCGUUCCGACAGGAUAUCUAAAACCCGUCGGAGUGGGAGCCCCUUCGAGUUCCAUCGGUCGACGCCGACGACCGUUCUGGCAGGAGGUAAGUAUCCCUCAACCUUCCAUAAGUUUUUCUCAUUUUCUACUUUUUUUUUUUUGUUUUUUCUCAUUUUCUACCGCUCUCAUAUCUGAAACCCGCCAGAGUGGCAGCCCCCUUCGAGUUCCAACGGUCGACGCCGACGAUCGUUCCGGAAUAUUCAUUUCUACCUUGUUUUUUUUUUCUCAUUUUCUACCUUCCAGUAACAAAGCUGAAACCAACCCACUCCCCUGUUCUAUUCAUACUGUUUUCAUCCGAUUCUCAGUUGUAACAUUAUACCUAAAACUUGGAAUUAUUAUUGAUUUGUGUGUCAAAUCAGUUGUAACAUUAUGUGGUCUUCAGUUGUAACAAUGCAGUCAAAUUUUAUGUGAUUUUUGAAUUGUUUGAUGCAGACUAACUGUUUAAACGAAGAUGCCCUUUUUGGGCAUUCAGUUUGACAAAAACGAAGCAUGUGGUUUCAGAUCCGAAUGUUAAACUGCACCUAUGUUUUAUGUGAUUUUCUAAUUGAAUUGGUUAAAUUAAACGAAGCAUGACUAAUUGUUUGAUAAAUUGUGACAGAGUUUAUGGAAAAAACUCUGAAAGUCUUGUGUUUAUGAAAAAAACUCUAAAAGUCUAUUAAAUUUAUGAAAAACAAUAGAGUGCUUCCAUGGAUGAAUGCUGAAAAAAUAUUAGUAUAUGCUUUGGAAUAUUUUGAGAAUUUAUAUUUUUAGAAAUGAAUUUUAUUUUAAAAUUUGACUCUUGUGUAUAUAAAUAUAGGAAUGAGUUCUCAAUCCACAUCCGAAAUUAGGUUUUAUAAGUACCUGAAAUAUAAUGUAAGAUACUACAAGUUUCAAAAAAAAUACAUAAUUCGCAUGUCAGAUACAUCUGCUAAUCCUCAAAGAUUGUUUUACACUUGCCCUAGCAAAUUGGUAAGUAGUAUUUUAAUUUCAUUGUGUUUGUGAUGACGGGUCUAGUUAUAUUAGAUAUAUUGAUGAAGCCACCUCAACAAGGAACAAUGUAGUGCAUUUGGAAAGCCAUAUUGAAAAGCUAGAGAAGUUAAUUGUUGAAGGGUUGGAUGCUCUGAAGGCUUCUCAGUAGUUAUUUAUCGAAGGAUUAAAGGCUAUGCAGAUUUUGACAAUAAGUUUUGUAGUUGUGUUUAUAUUUGUCUUGUACAUGUACAAGAACUAGUAUUUAGGUGUACUUAGUAUUUAGGUACAGGUUCUUGUAAUAUUUUGAACUAUGUGUAAUAUUUCAGUUAAAGCCUUUGUCUUGUUAAUCUAGAUUGUUAAAGGGUUGGAUGCCAUUUUCAGUUAAAGCCUUUGUCUUGUUAAUCUGGAUUGUUAAAAGGUUGGAUGACAACUAUUAAUCUGGAUUGUCUUCAUGGCCAAGAAAGCAACCACAUACUAUGGUACUAACAACAUGAAGAUCAUUGAUCAGGAUUUAGGAGCAAUGUAUAUCAGCUCCAGCCUCUAGAUGUUCAUGUUCAUGUUUGAUUUGAUUGGUGAAUAGCCUCUGUAGCAAAGCUUAGGUGAGAAAAUCAAGCAAGGGAAAAUAAUCCUUUAUUAUCCAAAGUUUUAAGAUUCUGAUUUGUGUAUC